rnacentral:rRNA from 1 species
UACGAGGGGAGCAAGCGUUGUUCGGAUUUACUGGGCGUAAAGGGCGCGUAGGCGGCCACGACAAGUCACUUGUGAAAUCUCCGGGCUUAACUCGGAACGGUCAAGUGAUACUGUCGGGCUAGAGUACAGAAGGGGCAACUGGAAUUCUCGGUGUAGCGGUGAAAUGCGUAGAUAUCAAGAGGAACACCAGUGGCGAAGGCGGCAUCCUGGACCGGUAUUGACGCUGAGGCGCGAAAGCCAGGGGAGCAAACGGG